rnacentral:rRNA from 1 species
GACGAACGCUGGCGGCGUGCCUAAUACAUGCAAGUCGAACGCAGUGGGGACGGGUGAGUAACACGUGGGUAACCUCCCAUCAGAGGGGAUAACACUUGGAAACAGGUGCUAAACCGAUACUGAUGGAUGGACCCGCGGUGCAUUAGCUAGUUGGUGAGGUAACGGCUCAGCAAGGCCACGAUGCAUAGCCGACCUGGGAGGGUGAACAGCCACACUGGAAGUGAGAAACGUUCCGGAGUCCUACGGGGGGCAGCCGUGGGGAAUAUUGCCAAAUGGGUGAAAGCCGGAUGCAGCCAUGCCCCUUGAGUGAAGAAGGUUUUCGGAUCGUAAAGCUCUGUUGUUAGAGAAGCGGUAACUAACCAGAAAGGGACGGCUAACUACGUGCCAGCAGCCGCGGUAAUAC